rnacentral:rRNA from 1 species
AUUGAACGCUGGCGGCAGGCCUAACACAUGCAAGUCGAGCGAGCGGCGGACGGGUGAGUAAUGUAUGGGGACUGCCCGAUAGAGGGGGAUCACUCCUGGAAACGGUAGCUAAUACCGCAUACUAUCGGAUAACCCAUAUGGGAUUAGCUAGUAGGUGAGGUAAGGGCGCACCUAGGCGACGAUCCCUAGCUGGUCUGCGAGGAUGAUCAGCCACACGGUGACUGAGACCCGGCCCAGACUCCGACGGAGGCAGCAGUGGGGAAUAUUGCACAAUGGGCGCAAGCCUGAUGCAGCCAUGCCGCGUGUAUGAAGAAGGCCCUAGGGUUGUAAAGUACUUUCAGUCGGGAGGCGGUACCGACAGAAGAAGCACCGGCUAACUCCGUGCCAGCAGCCGCGGUAAUUC